ensembl:lncRNA uncharacterized LOC114767141
CACUGCGGCUCCUCCGGACGUCGCGCGUCAGACACCGGGCUCGUCGGACGCGGGGGCAGGACAUGGACGGCGCGGAGCUGGCGUACGACACGGCGCUCAGCACCCUGCUGGCGGUGCUGGUGUACGUGUUGGUGAAAGUCAGCCUGGACGCCAUCAGGCAGUGGCGGGCGCGCAUCUCGGUCCUGAUCGUCGGGUCCGGUCCGGUGGGUCUGACCGCCGCCCUGGUCGCUGUUCGCUCGGGCAAGGUGCUGAAGCUGACGGUGCUGGACGAGCGCUACAGGACCGCGCUGCUCUGCAGACCCCAGCAGAUCGCGCUGGACCCGCGCAGCGUGCGCUUCCUGCUGCGGCUCGGCGUGGACUUCGACAACAUGGAAGGGUGCUGGCGCGGCGAGCACUUUUUCACCAAGGUCGGGGUGUUUCAGGAGCACCUGCUGAGCAUCCUGGAGCAAAAGAGGCAGAAGGUGGAGAUCGGAGUGCACCUGGGAACCAAGUUCUCAGAAGAGUACCUGCGCAGGAUCCCUGGUGGGGCGUGGCCGAAGGUGAUUAUCAUCGCCGACGGCUCUUGCGGGGAUUCCUGCUCGGUGCUGGGCAUCAGUUCCGACUACAUUGUGGAGUCCUGCCACGCCUACGGGGCCAACGCCACUAUAGAGAGGCUGGACCAGAGACAGGUCCCCACUCCAGAAAUUAAAGCGCAUAAUCUGUAUUUUGAUCUGUCGGCCUACGGCGUGGAUGCCCUGAAGGAGCCCCGCAACCCCACCCAGCCCACGGCCAAACCUGGGUUCCACCUGAAGAUCUACGGGACGUUCCGGAACCGCUACAUGGCUUUGGCCUGUACAGCUGCCGACACCAAGAUGGUGCGCUUCCUCCGCCACACGGCAAACUCCUCAAUCAUGAAGAACAUAUUCCACCAGUCUUUCAACGCUUACAAGACAGACAUCGAGCCCCGGCUGAACGACCUCACCCUGCACCACAUGCAGUGCAGCCGCAAGCUCUUCGAGAUCAUGCUGUCACACCGGCGUGUCAGCGCUGCCUACAUCGAAGGUGACAAUGUGGCUGUCACUGUGGAGGGAGAGGCUGCCCGCGUGCUCAACUUCGACACGGGCUGCGGUGUUAACCUGGGCAUGAGGGGGCUGGAGUCCUUGGGGACAUUUAUAUACAAAACUGCCACUGCGCUGGAUCAGAACGAUGUGUUUGAAGCGCUCUCAGCCAAGAUCCAGCACUCCAAACAGGUGGCAGAGACCUUCAGGCAAACAGGACUGGCCUCAACCCUGUUUGAAUGAAUCCUGUGCAUUUGUGUGUGUGUGUGUGUGUGUGUGAGAGAGAGAGAGAUAAAGCAAAAAAAAGGUGAAAUGAAGAGUGAAUUGCACCAUAGUGGAAUUUUGUAUGGCUGGGUCAGCCUACGUGACAUUGCAGAGCAAAGUUGCAUACUGUAAUUGUCUUGAAUUCAUAAAAAAUAAUCUUCUGCUUCGGUAUAGUAAUUAGUUGUAUAUGUAUUGAAAUUGAAAGUAUCAACUUGUGUAAAUUACAAACUGGCCCAGUGUAAAUACUUAAAUUGAGCCUAUAUUCUGAUUGGACCAACUACCA